GACAGAGGCCUCAAGCGUUAGGCGGAAUCACUGGGCUUAAAGCGUGUGUAGGCGGAUCGUUAAGUGCCUUGUGAAAUCCCACGGCUUAACUGUGGAACGGCUGGGCAUACUGGCGGUCUUGAGCCAUCUAGGGGCGACUGGAACAAACGGUGGAGCGGUGAAAUGCGUUGAUAUUAUGGGGAACACCAAAAGCGAAGGCAGCAGACUGGAGCACUCCUGACACUGAAACAAGAAAGCGUGGGUCGCGAAUGGG
rnacentral:rRNA from 1 species